UUCACACAGGCCACGCGCUAUAUUUGGAACAAGCUGCGCGCGCUCCCUCGUGCCUGCGCUCUCGCGGUCCGUCAGUGUCAAACGAGACACCUUUACGCCGCUCUUACCCAGACUCUCACAGCAAUAUCCUAAAAUAGCGGGUCUUCUCUUCGCCGUGUCGUCGCUUUGUCUGUCUCCCGCCUUACUGCGCUUGGAGGGAGCGUCGCGUCUUAAAUAGCCGACCUCGGUUGAUCCUAAUAUAGCGGGGGAUCCACGAGCAUGCGCGAGGAGCGAGGACGCGCGGAGCGCGGAGGAGCUGGACUGUAGUGCACACGCACAAAUGGACGCUGGCACUCAGGGCGAAUGCCAUGAGGACUGUAUAAUGAACAGCAUAGACCAUGAUCCGAAUGCGGAAGCUUAUAUGGACUUUAUGAAGAAACACUGCUGUUAUGAUGCAAUUCCCACCAGCUGCAAACUAGUCAUUUUUGACACCACCCUGCAGGUGAAGAAGGCCUUCUUUGCUUUGGUUGCGAAUGGCCUGAGAGCGGCCCCUUUAUGGGACAACAAGCUGCAGAGGUUUGUGGGUAUGCUGACAAUCACAGAUUUCAUUAAUAUUCUUCAUCGGUAUUACAGGUCACCCAUGGUUCAGAUCUAUGAAUUGGAGGAACACAAGAUUGAGACAUGGAGAGGUGAUUCAUUUCAAAACGUCUAUCUGCAAUAUCACGAUCAGUGUCUCAUCAGCAUCACGCCGGAUGCCAGCCUCUUUGAUGCUGUCUACUCUUUACUGAAACACAAAAUCCACAGGCUUCCGGUCAUCGACCCCGAGUCUGGAAAUGUCCUUCACAUACUGACCCAUAAGAGAAUCCUCAAGUUCCUUCAUAUAUUUGGAGCCUCGGUGCCAAAGCCACGCUUCUUGAAGAAGCAGAUUAAAGACGCAGGAAUAGGAACGUUCUCAGACGUGGCGACGGUCUCCCAGACAGCUACUGUGUACGAUGCUCUAUCUGUGUUUGUUGAGCGACGUGUCUCUGCUCUCCCAGUGGUGGACGACGACGGCAAGGUGGUUGCCCUGUAUUCCAGAUUUGACGUGAUUAAUCUUGCGGCGCAGAAAACCUACAAUAACCUGAGCAUGAGCAUGCAGGAGGCCGUGCGCAGGAGACGCUGUUAUGUGGAAGGAGUCAUUAAGUGUUACCCUGACGAGACUUUAGAGACUGUUAUUGACAGAAUAGUCAAGGCAGAGGUUCAUAGGCUGGUGCUUGUGGACAGGGAAGACGUGGUUCGGGGAAUAAUCUCUCUCUCAGACCUGCUGCAGGCCGUAGUUUUAUCUCCAGCAGGUAUUGAUGCUCUGUUUUCCUAACCUGAGAGGAUAUGCUUCCCCUGUUACCUCUUCUAACCAGCACUAGUGUCCAGGUUUUUAAAAGAUAAAGUAAGACCGCAAUCAAGAAUGAAGAAAGGAACUCUUUUUUUUUUUUACAUUAUAAAUUCAUGUUGUAACACACGUUCAGUUUGAAUGGCGUAAAUGCAUAACAUGUUAAGCGACUAAUUUCUCAUUUAACUGAGAGAUUGUUUAUGAUAAAUGAGUACUGACAAAGGAAACUGAUGCUUUUUGUUUUCAUGGACGAGUGAGCACAUGGGCUUGGAUUCUGAUCAAAUUGAUCAUGUAGUUUGCCUUUUUGUGCUAUGUUGUGAAAUGCAUUGUCGGAUUAUCAUGUUUUGUUUUCUAAUAAACAAUUCCUUGUGCUCUUUCCUUGCCUCAAAAAAUAAAUAACCUUAUACAAAAGUGAAAAAAGCA